ACUAGCCCAAUGCUCUUCCAACUGAGCUACGCGGUCAGGACGAUUCGAGUAAGUGAUAUUUCGGAUAAUGCUGUGGAUAUGCACUCAGAGUAACAUCACAAACAUCUUAUUCACCUGAGUACACAACACCAGCACAGAAAAAAUUCAUAUUACAAGAACACAUUGGUAUUGAAGGAACUAGAUACUGUUCCGAAAUAUCACUUACUCGAAUCGUCCUGACCGCGUAGCUCAGUUGGAAGAGCAUUGGGCUAGUAUUCCAAAGGUCGUAGGUUCGAAUCCCACCGUGGCCGGGCAUAUUUUUCAAGCUCGCCCGGUGUGGAUAUGCACUCAGAGUAACAUCACAAACAUAGUAUUAUAAUAUGUUAAUUUAACCAACUUGUUUUAUUAUCAAUAUUAUGUGUUAUAUACUAUGUUUAUAUUUCUUUUUGUUCGUGAUGUACUGUUUAAUAAACGAGUAGGAGUGUUUUAUCACAUAUAAAACAUGAGGCGUAGCAGAGUGUUUUAUAUGUGAUAAAACAUGAACUACAGUACGAGUUUAUUAAACAGCUUCAAAAACGUCUCAGUUAGAUCACAGCAUUGGCAAAAUAAUUUUCCAAAAUAACUUUGUAUUAGCUGAGAAAAUACAAGUUGAAAUUUGAAGCGUGUUUUAUCACAUAUAAAGACAUGCCACGCUUAUGAUUUCUCUUUGUGUUUUCCUCAUGAAUUAUUAAUGAGUUUUUGAAGUAGUUUUUAUAAAUAUUAAUAUUAACAUCAAAUGUUGUCCAUAUAUAUAUAUAUAUAUAUAUAACCCCCUACCCUAUAUAUAAGCCAGUGCAAGCCCUAUAGCUAAUCCUAUCUGUAAUCCAAUCCUAAAUCAAAU